rnacentral:rRNA from 1 species
CCACCACUAAGCCAGUGGUGAACUCCACAUACGCAUCCUUUGCUGAGGAUACGGUUAACGGAGCGAAAGCGACGUUCAACCGCAAAAGAAGCAGAGGGGGCUUAGUGGUGGGGUGACUGCGUACCUUUUGUAUAAUGGGUCAGCGACUUAUAUUCUGUAGCAAGGUUAACCGAAUAGGGGAGCCGGAGGGAAACCGAGUCUUAAUUGGGCGUUAAGUUGCAGGGUAUAGACCCGAAACCCGGUGAUCUAGCCAUGGGCAGGUUGAAGGUUGGGUAACACUAACUGGAGGACCGAACCGACUAAUGUUGAAAAAUUAGCGGAUGACCUGUGGCUGGGGGUGAAAGGCCAAUCAAACCGGGAGAUAGCUGGUUCUCCCCGAAAGCUAUUUAGGUAGCGCCUCGUGAAUUCAUCUCCGGGGGUAGAGCACUGUUUCGGCUAGGGGGCCAUCCCGGCUUACCAACCCGAUGCAAACUGCGAAUACCGGAGAAUGUUAUCACGGGAGACACACGGCGGGUGCUAACGUCCGUCGUGAAGAGGGAAACAACCCAGACCGCCAGCUAAGGUCCCAAAGUCAUGGUUAAGUGGGAAACGAUGUGGGAAGGCCCAGACAGCCAGGAUGUUGGCUUAGAAGCAGCCAUCAUUUAAAGAAAGCGUAAUAGCUCACUGGUCGAGUCGGCCUGCGCGGAAGAUGUAACGGGGCUAAACCAUG